rnacentral:rRNA from 1 species
UCCCGGCACGGGGAGGUAGUGACGAGAAAUAACGAUGCGGAACUCAUCCGAGGCUUCGUAAUCGUAAUGAGUAUACUCUAAACACUUGUACGAGUAUCAGUUGGAGGGCAAGUCUGGUGCCAGCAGCCGCGGUAAUUCCAGCUCCAAUAGCGUAUACUAAAGUUGUUGCGGUUAAAAAGCUCGUAGUCGGCUCUGUGUCGGGCGCCGCCGGUUCACCGCAAGCGGUGCACAACCGGCCGGCCUGCCCGACCUCUUGCCGGUGGCUCGUCCGCCCGCCGCGUCGCGCGCCUAGAGGUAGCGGAACCUGCGGGUGCCGUCUCGAAGCCGCAGCCGGCGGAGCGGCGGCCUGGCAAUCCCGUCGCGGUGCUCUUGAUCGGGCGCCGAGUCGGGCCGGCACUUUUACUUUGAACAAAUUAGAGUGGCUCUAUGCAGGCUGCUAGCCUGCAGUUGUGCGCAUGGAAUAAUUGAAUAGGACCUCGGUUCUAUUUUGUUGGUUCUCGGAACCGGAGGUAAUGAUCAACGGGGACGGGCGGGGGCAAUCGUAUUGCGACGUUAGAGGUGAAAUUCUUGGAUCGUCGCAAGACGAACAGAAGCGAAAGCAAUUGCCAAGUACGUUCCCGUCGAUCAAGAGCGAAAGUUAGAGGUUCGAAGGCGAUCAGAUACCGCCCUAGUUCUAACCAUAAACUGUGCCAGCCAGCGAUCCGCCGCAGUUCCUCCGAUGACUCGGCGGGUAGCUUCCGGGAAACCAGAGCCUUCAGGUUCCGGGGGAAGUAUGGUUGCAAAUCUGAAACUUAAAGGAAUUGACGGAAGGGCACCACCAGGAGUGGAGCCUGCGGCUUAAUUUGACUCAACACGGGAAAACCUACCAGGCCCGGACACCGGAAGGAUUGACAGAUUGACAGUUCUUUCUUGAUUCGGUGGGUGGUGGUGCAUGGCCGUUCUUAGUUGGUGGAGCGAUUUGUCUGGUUAAUUCCGAUAACGAACGAGACUCUGUCCUGCUAAUUAGGCGGCCGGUAUCCGCUUAACGCGCUACCGGCGGCCAAACGUCUUCUUAGAGGGACAGGCGGCUCCUAGCCGCACUAAACUGAGCAAUAACAGGUCUGUGAUGCCCUUAGAUGUCCUGGGCUGCACGCGCGCUACAUUGCAGGGGGCAGCGCGUCUUCCCAGUCCGAGAGGACCGGGUAACCCGCUCAACCUACCUACAUGCCAGGGAUUGGGGAAUGCAAUUGCACCUCAUGAACAUGGAAUUCCCAGUAAGCGCGAGUCAUCAGCUCGCGUUGAUUAAGUCCCUGCCCUUGUACACA